GAUGAACGCUGGCGGCGUGCCUAAUACAUGCAAGUCGAGCGAACAGAUGAGGAGCUUGCUCCUCUGACGUUAGCGGCGGACGGGUGAGUAACACGUGGAUAACCUACCUAUAAGACUGGGAUAACUUCGGGAAACCGGAGCUAAUACCGGAUAAUAUAUUGAACCGCAUGGUUCAAUAGUGAAAGACGGUUUUGCUGUCACUUAUAGAUGGAUCCGCGCCGCAUUAGCUAGUUGGUAAGGUAACGGCUUACCAAGGCAACGAUGCGUAGCCGACCUGAGAGGGGGAGCGGGCAAACGGGAAAUGAGACACGGUACAGACUCCUACGGGAGGCAGCAGUAGGGAAUGUUCCGCAAUGGGCGAAAGAUAGAAGGAGCAACGACGCGGGAGUGAUGAAGGGCUUCGGAUCGUAAAACUCUGUUAUUAGGGAAGAACAAAAGAGUAAGUAACUAUGAACGUCUUGACGGUACCUAAUCAGAAAGACACGGCUAACUACGUG
rnacentral:rRNA from 1 species